rnacentral:rRNA from 1 species
UGGGGAAUUUUGGACAAUGGGCGAAAGCCUGAUCCAGCAAUGCCGCGUGUGUGAAGAAGGCCUUCGGGUUGUAAAGCACUUUUGUCCGGAAAGAAAUCCUUGGCUCUAAUACAGUCGGGGGAUGACGGUACCGGAAGAAUAAGCACCGGCUAACUACGUGCCAGCAGCCGCGGUAAUACGUAGGGUGCAAGCGUUAAUCGGAAUUACUGGGCGUAAAGCGUGCGCAGGCGGUUUGCUAAGACCGAUGUGAAAUCCCCGGGCUCAACCUGGGAACUGCAUUGGUGACUGGCAGGCUAGAGUAUGGCAGAGGGGGGUAGAAUUCCACGUGUAGCAGUGAAAUGCGUAGAGAUGUGGAGGAAUACCGAUGGCGAAGGCAGCCCCCUGGGCAAUACUGACGCUCAUGCACGAAAGCGUGGGGAGCAAACAGGAUUAGAUACCCUGGUAGUCCACGCCCUAAACGAUGUCAACUAGUUGUUGGGGAUUCAUUUCCUUAGUAACGUAGCUAACGCGUGAAGUUGACCGCCUGGGGAGUACGGUCGCAAGAUUAAAACUCAAAUGAAUUGACGGGGUCAUAGCUG